UGUAGGUGGCAAGCGUUGUCCGGGAAUUAUUGGGCGUAAAGCGCGCGCAGGCGGCUUCUUAAGUCCAUCUUAAAAGUGCGGGGCUUAACCCCGUGAUGGGAUGGAAACUGAGAGGCUGGAGUAUCGGAGAGGAAAGUGGAAUUCCUAGUGUAGCGGUGAAAUGCGUAGAGAUUAGGAAGAACACCGGUGGCGAAGGCGACUUUCUGGACGACAACUGACGCUGAGGCGCGAAAGCGUGGGGAGCAA
rnacentral:rRNA from 1 species